AUUGAACGCUGGCGGCAUGCCUUACACAUGCAAGUCGAACGGCAGCACGGGAGCAAUCCUGGUGGCGAGUGGCGAACGGGCGAGUAAUAUAUCGGAACGUGCCCAGUCGUGGGGGAUAACGCAGCGAAAGCUGUGCUAAUAUCGCAUACGAUCUAUGGAUGAAAGCGGGGGAUCGCAAGACCUCGCGCGAUUGGAGCGGCCGAUAUCAGAUUAGCUAGUUGGUGAGGUAAAGGCUCACCAAGGCGACGAUCUGUAGCUGGUCUGGGAGGACGACCAGCACGACUGGAACUGAGACACGGUCCAGACUCCUACGGGAGGCAGCAGUGGGGAAGUUUGGGCAAUGGGCGAAAGCCUGAUCCAGCAAUGCCGCGUGCAGGAUGAAGGCCUUCGGGUUGUAAACUGCUUUUGUACGGAACGAAACGGUGAGCUCUAAUACAGUUUGCUAAUGACGGUACCGUAAGAAUAAGAACCGGCUAACUACGUGCCAGCAGCCGCCGUAAGAC
rnacentral:rRNA from 1 species